AAUAGAUUAGAUUUCUGCAGCGCUUUUCAAGGCACCCAAAGCGUUAUACAUUAUUGAGCCAUUAUUCAUUCACUCUCAGAUUCACACUCUGGUGGUGGUAAACUACAUCUAUAUCCACAGCUGAU